CAGGCCAACACCCUUUGGUCACAUGAAUAAAAGUCAAGCCCUUUCUUUGCUCAUUGCUCAGCCUCUGGGUAUUAAUCUGCUGAGCUGGUGGCCACCUAAAUACAAUCGUCCUGUUCCCCUCAUUGGUCUCUCCGGUCUCCUGAUUCCAGCCACAUUUUGGUGAGCCAGCCAGGAGUGAAGACGACAGGUUUGCUGUCUCCUUUGCCUGUGGGUCUGGGGCCCCAGCCUGGGGGAGACCCGUGACUCCAGGCAUGCUAUCAGGACAACUUCAACCCGAGGGGAGAUCAGCUCUCCCGCAACCUGGUGCCGCUCUCUGACAGCACAACAGAACCUAAGGGGCUACAGGAUGAUUCAAGGAACAGUGUGCUACAGGACCUCGCAAGAAGACCCUCACCAGAUGCAGCCCCUCUAUGUUGGACUUCCCAGCCUCCGGAAGUAAAUGUGCUACAACCACUCAAGGUCUGCAAACAGAUUCCUAUUUAGAUGUUGUUGAGAGUUUCGUUCUUGUCGCCCAGGCUGGAGUGUCAUUUUAACUUUUAAAACAUCCUGUUCUGUUUCAUUGUGAACUGGCUGAGCUUUCCAAGAUGUGGUUGAACUGAAGUGAAGAUAGAGAAUUUUCUUCUAUUUUUCCUCAUUUAAAU
rnacentral:lncRNA from 1 species